AUUGAACGCUGGCGGCAUGCCUUACACAUGCAAGUCGAACGGUAACAGGUCUUCGGAUGCUGACGAGUGGCGAACGGGUGAGUAAUACAUCGGAACGUGCCCGAGAGUGGGGGAUAACGAGGCGAAAGCUUUGCUAAUACCGCAUACGAUUUCAGGAUGAAAGCAGGGGACCGCAAGGCCUUGCGCUCACGGAGCGGCCGAUGGCAGAUUAGGUAGUUGGUGGGAUAAAAGCGUACCAAGCCGACUAUCUGUAGCUGGUCUGAGAGGACGACCAGCCACACUGGGACUGAGACACGGCCCAGACUCCUACGGGAGGCAGCAGUGGGGAAUUUUGGACAAUGGGCGCAAGCCUGAUCCAGUCAUGCCGCGUGCAGGAUGAAGGCCUUCGGGUUGUAAACUGCUUUUGUACGGAACGAAAAGACUCUGGUUAAUACCUGGGGUCCAUGACGGUACCGUAAGAAUAAGCACCGGCUAACUACGUGCCAGCCGCCGCUGUAAUAC
rnacentral:rRNA from 1 species